rnacentral:rRNA from 1 species
UAACGCGUGAGGAACCUGCCUUUCAGAGGGGGACAACAGUUGGAAACGACUGCUAAUACCGCAUGACACAUAGAGAUCGCAUGGUUUUUAUGUCAAAGAUUUAUCGCUGAAAGAUGGCCUCGCGUCUGAUUAGCUAGUUGGUGAGGUAACGGCCCACCAAGGCGACGAUCGGUAGCCGGACUGAGAGGUUGAACGGCCACAUUGGGACUGAGACACGGCCCAG